AUGUGGACGCCGUGUCCCAGCUGUGGGGUGGACAUGUGGACACCACGUCCUGGGCUGUGGGGUGGUCACGUGGACGCCGUGCCCAGCUGUGGGGUGGUCACAUGGACACCGUGUCCUAGCUGUGGGGUGGACAUGUGGAUGCCGUGUCCCAGCUGUGGGGUGGUCACAUGGACGCCGUGUCCUAGCUGUGGGGUGGACAUGUGGAAGCCCGUGUCCCAGCUGUGGGGUGGUCACAUGGAUGCCGUGUCCCAGCUGUGGGGUGGUCACAUGGAUGCCGUGUCCUGGGCUGUGGGGUGGUCACGUGGACGCCAUGUCCCAGCUGUGGUGUGGUCACAUGGACACCGUGUCCUGGGCUGUGGGGUGGACAUGUGGAAGCCCGUGUCCCAGCUGUGGGGUGGUCAUGUGGACACCACGUCCUGGGCUGUGGGGUGGUCAUGUGGACACCACGUCCUGGGCUGUGGAGUGGUCACAUGGACACCGUGUCCCAGCUGUGGGGUGGUCACACAUGAUGCCUACGUGGUGGGCUGUAGGUUCAGUUAUGGCUACUGCUCACGUCGGCUCUGGAAUGGGAGGGUAAAAGCCCCUCUGGCAGGAUCUCCGGGCAGGUGGCUGGUGUGGAAGCAGCCGCGUAAUUUCUGGACUUCCAACUUCUUGGAGGUGACGUGUCUUAGGUGCCUCUUCUUUGCAGGGACAUUGCAUUUGGUCAAGACUCCAUGGCUCACCUGCUGCAGUGGAACUGAAUGGCCAGCUCCCACAGGUCGGGGAGGGUCUCCUCACCCAGCCCCACGUGAAGAAGAUCCAGCCCGGGUCGUCACUGCACCUCUCGGCUUGUCACUCCCUGUGCCCCCUGCCACCGAAACAUCAAAAGUCAACUCUGGCAAACCAUGGCCCGUGCUCCGGGGGAGGAGUGUGUACAUUUUUUUAAAGGGCAGAGAGAGAAAGCCAGCCAGCAGGCCGGCCAGCUCCCUCCUCCAGUGCCCGCAGCAGCCAGAGCCUGGGACUCCAUCCGGGUCUCCCAGGUGA
rnacentral:lncRNA from 1 species